rnacentral:rRNA from 1 species
CAUGUAGGCGGAAAUUUAAGUCUGUUGUGAAAAUGCGGGGCUCAACCCCGUAUUGCGAUGGAAACUGGGUUUCUUGAGUGCAGGAGAGGAAAGGGGAAUUCCCAGUGUAGCGGUGAAAUGCGUAGAUAUUGGGAGGAACACCAGUGGCGAAGGCGCCUUUCUGGACUGUGUCUGACGCUGAGAUGCGAAAGCUAGGGGAGCGAACG